rnacentral:rRNA from 1 species
GACGAACGCUGGCGGCGUGCUUAACACAUGCAAGUCGAACGAUGAAGCUGGAGCUUGCUCCGGUGGAUUAGUGGCGAACGGGUGAGUAACACGUGAGCAAUCUGCCCUUGACUCUGGGAUAACUGCGGGAAACUGCAGCUAAUACCGGAUACGAGGCUCGAAGGCAUCUUCGGGUCUGGAAAGAAUUUCGGUCAAGGAUGAGCUCGCGGCCUACCAGCUUGUUGGUGAGGUAAUGGCUCACCAAGGCGACGACGGGUAGCCGGCCUGAGAGGGUGACCGGCCACACUGGGACUGAGACACGGCCCAGACUCCUAUGGGAGGCAGCAGUGGGGAAUAUUGCACAAUGGGCGAAAGCCUGAUGCAGCAACGCCGCGUGAGGGAUGAAGGCCUUCGGGUUGUAAACCUCUUUUAGCAGGGAAGAAGCGAAAGUGACGGUACCUGCAGAAAAAGCACCGGCUAACUACGUGCCAGCCGCCGCAGUAA